rnacentral:rRNA from 1 species
GCUUGAUGUGACCAUGUUGGACGGUAUGGCGACAAGUGCAUUCGGCUCUUGUGGACUGUUCAGCGCUUCACGCAGUUCACCAACACUGGUUGUCAUAUCGAUCAGUCGACUCGGAACCAUGACCGUGUCUUUCAUCCGCUGGACAGCGGUCAAGUCAAGCGCUUUGACAAUUGAUCUGGUCGUACAUUCACCUUGACUGAGGCACAGAACCUGACCACGACCGCCGUUAUUGUUUAGCCGAUCCAUUGGAAUUGACAACGAUGAUGCGGGCCUUUUCUUUAUUAUCUGUCUAUCUGAGCGAUUCUGCCUGCUUGUUGUUUAAAGUUUAAACUUGCCUCAAGCGCUCGUUGUUUGCUGCUCGUCGUCGGCCAACAGAAACCUCAACUAGCCGUACCAAGCCAAACCGAGCCGUUGACUAUCUGCUUCUCACCGUAGCCGGCGCGAUGCUGCUGAUCUUUCUCUGGUCAAGAUGCUUUUAUCAAUUUUCCAAUCGUUCAGCAGCUGAAGGCUCUGUUUUACAUAACAAUGCCUCUAGAAAACAAUGCAAACGGCUUAUUGCGACUAGCUUACUUGCUUUGCCAAUGUCGACGUCUCUGAAGACUCGGCGAGCAGCUUCCGGGAAACCAAAGUGUUUCGGUUCCGGGGGAAGUAUGGUUGCAAAGCUGAAACUUAAAGGAAUUGACGGAAGGGCACCACCAGGAGUGGAGCCUGCGGCUUAAUUUGACGCAACACGGGAAAACUCACCCGGCCCGGACACUGGAAGGAUUGACAGAUUGACAGCUCUUUCUUGAUUCAGUGGGUAGUGGUGCAUGGCCGUUCUUAGUUGGUGGAGCGAUUUGUCUGGUUAAUUCCGAUAACGAACGAGACUCUACCCUAUUAAAUAGUGACAGUAUUGUAUUUUUUGUGCUGAUCACUUCUUAGAGGGACUGGCAAAAAGCUGCACGAAAAAGAGCAAUAACAGGUCUGUGAUGCCCUUCGAUGUCCGGGGCUGCACGCGCGCUACAAUGAAAGCGUCAACGUGAGUUACGUCCUUACCUGAAAAGGUUUGGCAAUCGAAUGAAACGUUUUCUUGAAUGGAAUAGGGAAUUGCAAUUGUUUCCCUUGAACGAGGAAUUCCCAGUAAGCGUGAGUCAUUAGCUCGCGUUGAUUACGUCCCUGCCCUUUGUACACACCGCCCGUCGCUACUACCGAUUGGAUGAUUUAGUGAGGUGUUUUGACUGGCGCCAGUAGUCGGAUAUGUAUUCGGACGGAUCGUACAAACCGACCUUUCGAAACGGCGGCCAGACGUUCUCGUCAUCCGAAUAGUCCGACGGAUCCUGGUA